AAUCCUACUAUAUUAUUUGGAAAAUACAUUUUAAAUGUAACCUUAAUUUUUGUAAGUAAUUAUAUAGGUAUGCCAUUAGAAAUAAAAUUUUAAAAAGUAAAUUAAUUUAUCUCUUUAAGGAUUAAAAAGUCAAAUACUAAUUUAAUUAAUUAAAUUAAUUAAAAAACGAAAUAUAUUAUCAAUUUC
rnacentral:sRNA from 1 species